UUAGAUACUAUUUCAUUAGUAUUUUAUAAUUUUCAAUAUGCGAGUCCUGUGACUGUUUUGUUAAACUUACACAAAAGUAUUUCAUGUUUUUUGAGUUACUGUAAAUGAUGUUCUGUCUUUUGUUUGCUUGUUUUCUAAGUCCUGGAUGCCGCGUUCUUCUUCGGCUGCCUCAGGCUGGGAAGGGAGGAGGGAUGUCAGGAGGGCUAGGAGGGCUCGGUACCGCCCCGGCCCACACAGCUGCGCCAUAACUGGCUCCACCUGACCUGGAGCUGCCGGUCAGCCGCUAGGAUCUCAGGAUCAGGUGCGAGAAGACCCUUGCUGUGCAUGCGCACUGGAGCGCCUGGCGGUGAGGAGCUGGCGCUCGCACCAGGUCGGCGAGGUGGUGGCCGGGUCUUCAAGCCGGUUUCAGGGAAGUCUCCGGGGAGCCCUUUCUGGGACCUUCGGUGUGCCCACACUCUAUAAACCCGUGGAACUUCGAGAACUAUCUUGAAGAGCAGUGAUGACUGUGGGCACCCUUGCCUUUUUCCUGAUCUUUGGUGGGAAAAUUUCAGCCUUUCAUGAAUAAUGACAAACCACCAGGGAGUGGUGCAGCCCCCCACUUGAAAGGAGCCUGGGUCUCUAAGUUACCUCGUGGAAAAGAACCACUCAAGGAUUUGUAACACCACUUUUGCACUAUGUAAAUAAAUAAUAGUUUUGUAUUUUGUUUGAGACAUUGUAUGUUUUUUGAGGUGAGACAUUGUACAUUUUUUGAGUUUUUUAAAUAACAAUUUAGCCUACCCAGAUGAACACAGCAUGUUUUGGCUGGGGAGAGGUUCCCUUACAAGUUUGACUUCCUCAUUUUAGUCUGCUUCUAUAGUCUUAGUUCUUUACCAGCUUCUGGACUUCUAAAAGGCUUUGCCUGUGAAACAUCCUGAUGUGUUUUCUGGGUACUUUCCUGGUUCUUAAACGACUGUCUCACAUGCUCCUGAUUGACUUCUGGUAAGUGAUCAAUGGUCUGCUUAUACUUUGAUAGCUCUGCACCUCUUGACUCUUCAUCUAGACUCACUCUGAACUCCACAGUAACUGCAAACUUCUCGGACUCUCCUCAGUCUAGCCAGCUUCUAUAUCGGGCCUGUAUAUUUGUAUCGCAUAUAGCCCCACAGUCUGAUUUUCCCAACUUGUCUUGGAUUGAGAGUUAAUGUAUCAUCUCAUAAAGUCCUGUUGGAAGACUCGAAAUGCCAGAAGCCAAGUAUCUAGGAGAUCGUAUCUGGCUAUAUGAAGUUGCAGAGAGAGAUUCUGUUGCAGAGAGAGAUUCAUAGCGUUCUGCUCAAGAGGGUAAGCUUUCAAGUCAAGUCACCUGCUUUCCAGUCCUGGCUUCCUCACUUGCUAGUUGUAAAUUAUAAGUUUUAAGUGACCUAGGGAAAGUUUCUGAACUUAGUUAUUUCCAUAAUUUCUACAAAUAUCUGAGUUUAUCAUCUGUAAAAUGUUAUCUUUUCUAUUAUAAUGGGAUCUACUCAUCUUGUGACCAGAAAAACAUGCCUAAAAAACUGCUGUAGGCACUCAAGAAGCAUUUGUACAAAGAGUUAAAUGGAUAUGCAGCUCAGCAUUCUUAAUGAUACUUAAUUUGAGCCAUUCUAAUGAUUUUAAUCUUCUCUCUUAUCUCCCUUUUUAAGAGUAGUGUUUACCAGCUCCUCUAAUAUCUUACUCAAUAAAUGUUUGGAUAAAGUAAUAACAUAGUAAUGAGAAAAUAAUAUAAGAAGAAUUGAAAAUGCACAUUUCUUUUGUUUAUUGAGAUAUAAUUGAUGCAUAACAUUAUAUUGCACAUUUCUAUUUGUAGUUCUCAGAAUUUUAUUGCAUCUCCUUUGGAGUCUUCCUAAAUUUUUAAAUAAUGCUUCUAAAGUUCUUUAGGAAAUUGGCAUGUAAUUGGUACCUGUUAGAAAGUAGGCCAACUUGCUGAGCAAAAAAACAAAAAGAAAGCAAAAGCAUAACAAACACACAUAAAUAAGGAAACAAAAAUAGCCAUAAAAUGGUUUGAAAGUAAUAGAAGUUUAUUCCUGAUUCAUGUACCAGUGCUGGCAUGUAACAGGGUGGCGGAGUGGCCCUCCUUCAGCUAAUCAUGCAUGGUUAACACUGGCUUUCAGGAUCAUCCUGAGAAUUAGCUCCAUUUCAGCUACUGAGAAAGGCAAAUGAUCACGGAAGAGCUUCCAAAGGAAGAGUUUAUGCUCUAGGCCUGGAACAGCUGCAUGUUACUUCUGCCCACGUUCCAACCGGCUAGCAGUCACAUGGCCACAAGCAAGUUCAGUGGAGCCUUGGAACUUUCUCCAGGAACAGGAGAAGCUCCUGAAUUUUGGAGAGAAGCUAACAAUCUCUGUCACGAAAAUCUUGUCAUCUCCUAGUUCAUUUUCUAAUUGAUUCCUGCUUCACAGAAGAUUAGUCCAAUCGAUUUGCAUUUUACUAACCUUAGAUUUGUCACAGAGUUCACAACAUGUGAAUACAAUAAUCAAAGGUAGAAUUAUUUAAGCAAAUUUAUAUGGUAAACAAUAAUGUUCUCUACCUCAAUGAGAACCUAUCGACAUAUGUUUUGAUCACUGUAAUCAUAAAUUAUUAAUGAGUGAUAUUUUAAGCAUCUCCCAUAUUUAUUGUUUAGCUAUUUACAAUCGUUGUAGACAAUUUAAAAUUGUACAAUGGUUUUUAAAAACUUUUUAGAUCUCCUUGUAAUUUUGAUGAGAGACUUCCUUGUUGCUUUUUUCGCAGUGUUACUAAAAAAAUGCAUUUCUAGGUGGCAUUUCAAUUUAGCGGAGGAAUGAAUUAUUUAGUAAAGUUACUAGCACAAGUGUUAAUCAUCUGGAAGAAAAUGUAGUUUGACUAUUUAGUCAGCUACAUUCAGAAAUAAAGUUUUAAAAGAUUUGAGUUUAAAAAAAACAUUAAAAGACUUAGAGGAAACCCUGAGAGGGAAGCUAUAUCUACGUUAAAAUAAAAAUUUUAAAAAACCUGAAUCUAUGGAAAAAAACUUUAUAGAAAAUUAUGCUAUUCAAUGAAGUAAAGGAAAAGAUUGAUGGAAAAAAAUAUUGCAACUCUAGGUCAGAUAAAUAGUUUAUAAUGUACAAUUCUUUGAAAUUAAUGAAACAAAAAAAUAAGCAUAAGAUAUUUGAUGGAAAAAUACAAAUUCAAAAAGAUAGGCAUUCAAAGAACAGCAAAUAUAAAUGAUCGAAAAUUAUAAAAUCGUAUUAUACAACAAUAAUAGGGAAAUCCAUUGUAAAGGAAAACAUCUCUUUUUUCACUUCUCAGAAUUUCUAAAAUUUAAGUGUGAAAAUCCUUCGAGCUAUGGUGCUCUAAUACAUUGUGGGUAGAAAUGUGAAUAGGUACAGAUAUUUGGGGAUAUUAUCAGACAUUAUCUAUUAAAUCAAAAGAUGCUUAUGCUCUGUGACCCACAAACCAUACUCAUGAGAUUCUAUCUUAUAUAAAUCAAGCUAACAAUAUAUCAUAUUACAGUAACAGAUACAUUUAUUACAGCAUUGUUUCCAGUGCAAAGAAACUGGAAACAAUCUGACAAAGGGAAUAAUCGAAUAUGAUGUUCCAUACCACGGACUACUUUGCAGCCAAAAGAAAUAAGUUACAGCUUUCUCAUAUUUUCUCAGAAGGGUUGCAAUGAUGUAUUUUUUGGGCGUGUAAACCAAGCAGAGAGAUGUAUAAAAUGAACCAUUUUUGUAAUAUAACUACUAAUACAUUUCUACUAAGUGCAUAAUUUAAAGUGUACAUAUUUAAAUUAUUACAUACUUACUUUGUGGGUAUUGUGGACAGAUUGAAUCUGUAAGCAGCAUAAAAGUAAAUUAAAAAGUUAAAUUCAUAUCACUAUGUUCUAUUAAUUUUCUUUUGCUGCACAAAAAAUCACCACAAACUAAAUGGCUUAAAAUACCACAGUGUUACUCUCCCACAGUUUCUGAGGUUCAGUGGUUCUGCCAGGUCCUCUGCUUGGAGUCCCACUAGGCUGCAGGCAAGGUUUUGCCUGGUGCUGCACUGCCUUCAGGUGCCGGGGUUCCUUUGUGAAGGCUGUGGGCUGGCUAUUAACAGAAUUCAAUUCCUUGUGGCUAUAGGACUGAGGUCCCUCUUUGUUUUGUUUUGUUUUGCUGGCUGUCAGCUGGGGGCUCUCUCAGGUCCUAGCUGUUGCCCUUAUUUCUUUGCCAUGUGUUCCCAUAAGCAACUCACAACAUGGUGGCAGUUCGAUCCUUCUUUGGGACCAGCAGGAUAGUGUCUCUUUCUUUCUUUCACUGCUUCAUUUUCUUUCAAAGGGUUCACCUCGUUAGGUUAGGCCACCCAAAUUCUCUCUCUCUUGCUUCACCCAAAGUCAACUGAUUAGUGUCCUAAUCACAGAAGUAAUAUCUUGUCACAUUCACCUAUCCUGCUCGCACUCAGGGGAGGAGAUUAUAGAAGAUGUGGACACCAGAGGACAGAAAUCAUGAGGACCAUCUUAUUCUGCUUGCUGCAACAGACCACAGCAAAAAAAGGUUUAAAUCAUAUGAUCCAACUUUGAUAGCAGUGUAUAUAUGCAUCUACAAUUAGAUAAAAAAUAUGUGAAA